rnacentral:rRNA from 1 species
CGUAGGGUGCGAGCGUUGUCCGGAAUUAUUGGGCGUAAAGGGCUCGUAGGCGGUUUGUCGCGUCGGGAGUGAAACCAGGUGCUUAACACCUGGCUUGCUUUCGAUACGGGCAGACUAGAGGUAUUCAGGGGAGAACGGAAUUCCUGGUGUAGCGGCGAAAUGCGCAGAUAUCAGGAGGAACACCGGUGGCGAAGGCGGUUCUCUGGGAAUGACCUGACGCUGAGGAGCGAAAGUGUGGGGAGCGAACAGGAUU